UUUAAAUCUAUGGCCAUUUGGUUUGGGAUUCCCUGUUUUAAUGCAAAACUUAAACUGUUCUCCUGUGUUUACCAAAUAACUGCGGCUGAACAUCAUUCUGGUCUGCUGGGUAUGUAGUCAAAUGGUCCGAGUCCUCUCAGUUGUUGUCAGUUUAAAACAAGUGAAUGCAAACACAUACUUGAAAUGAAAAAAUAAUCUGGAAUCUGUUAGAAUGAAGCAUUCUGAUGGCUCUGCUGGGGAUGCAGCACCUACAGUGCUGGACACACGUCCCUUCUGGUUCUUAUCUCUGUGUUUUUCUUUAAGGAAUUCCAUCCCAACAUGACCAGGACUGUCUCCUCUCAUCUGACAGCAGUGUUUGGCUUUUAUCCCACCUGCUGCCUCUGGGAGCAGGCUCAACACAGGAGCACAACCAUACAAGAGGUUUGUUGCGCUUUUGCUUAAGGAGUGCUUUGUGUUAAACACUGCAGCUCUAACCCCCAAGGUACCAUCGCAAAUUGCUCUGAGCCGUGUGCUGCUGCCAGCACUGCCAAGCCUGCGUGUGCUGCUAGAACCUCCCAGGGCCACGGGACCUGCAGGGUGAAGUCAGCACUCCUGCUGCCAGAGGAGCCCCAGUCCGGCAUGCGGAGGGGAGGCCACAGCACGGCUCUUCUUGCAAGCUGUUUUAUCCUAAUGAUCCACUGAAGAUUGUAAAGGCAAGAGGCCAGUACAUGUAUGAUGAGAAUGGAAGACAAUACCUUGACUGCAUAAACAACGUUGCUCACGUUGGACAUUGCCACCCUGAUGUAGUAAAAGCAGCCCACGAGCAAAACCAAUUGCUAAAUACAAAUUCUCGUUAUCUUCACGACAACCUGACUGAUUAUGCAGAGAGACUUUCAGAAAAGCUACCUGACAAGUUGUGCACCUUUUAUUUCUUGAACUCUGGAUCUGAGGCUAAUGAUCUUGCCCUAAGAAUGGCAAGACAGUUUACAAAGCAUGAGGACGUUAUAGUUCUAGACCAUGCUUACCAUGGACAUCUGACAUCCUUGAUUGACAUAAGCCCAUAUAAAUUCAGAAAUCUAGGAGGACAAAAGGAAUGGGUCCACGUGGCUCCUGUUCCAGACACAUACAGAGGACUAUACAGAGAGGACCAUGAAGAUCCAGUAACAGCCUACGCUAAUGAAGUGAAAAAUAUUAUUAAGCAAGCACAUAAGAAAGGCAGAAAGAUUGCUGCAUUUUUUGCUGAAUCUCUGCCAAGCGUUGGUGGUCAGAUCCUCCCACCAGAAGGCUAUUUUCAGAAAGUUGCAGAGCAUGUGCACAAGGCUGGAGGUGUAUUUGUUGCUGAUGAAAUUCAAGUUGGCUUUGGCAGGGUUGGCAAGCACUUUUGGGCAUUCCAGCUUCAGGGAGAAGACUUUAUACCUGACAUAGUCACUAUGGGGAAACCCAUAGGUAAUGGGCACCCUAUUGCCUGCGUAGCAACAACUAAAGAAAUUGCAGAAGCGUUUGCAGCCACCGGAGUAGAAUAUUUCAACACAUUUGGAGGAAACCCUGUUUCAUGUGCCAUUGGAUUGGCUGUUUUAGAUGUGAUAGAGAAGGAACAGCUUCAAGUUCAUGCAACAGAAGUUGGCAACUUCUUUAUGAAGCUACUCAUGGAGCAAAAAAUCAAGCACCCCCUCAUUGGUGAUGUCAGAGGUUCUGGCUUAUUCAUUGGAGUGGACUUAAUUAAAGAUCAAGCAAAAAGAACCCCAGCCACAGAAGAAGCAGAGUAUUUAAUAAUAAGGCUUAAGGAAGAAUAUAUUCUACUGAGUACAGAUGGGCCAGGAAGAAAUGUACUUAAAUUCAAGCCCCCAAUGUGUUUCACUAUGGAGGAUGCAAAAUUUGUAGUGGACACCAUUGACAAACUUUUAACAGGUAAGACAGACUUAAAAAUGCCUUACAGCAGUUACUGUUGGACUGAGCAACUGAGCCCGCUUUUCAGAAGUCCUGGAACAAAGCCUAAAUGGCAGACACUAAACACACAGGAAAGUCAAUCAUUGAGAGUUUAGCCUUCACUUCCAAACAAUCCAAGUUCUCUAGCAGAACUUUUUACUCCAGGGAAGCAUAUACACCUGUAGAAGUUUCGUUCUGGCAGAGGGUAGCAUUUGCUUACAGCAAAUGUCAAAGCUAACCACAUUUCAUUGCCAAGAGCCAUCGUGUGGAUGCUUUUUAUGCUAUUUGUACAACUUGUGCACAGUGUUAAACAAAUUACUCUAAAACGAAUUCAACUCCAGGUUUGUUAAGUUGUUGCUUGUUGUCCUUCCAGAUAUGGAAAAAGAACAUCUGAACCAGGAGAAAACAUCCACUGGCUCAACCUAAGCAGCACUGCCCCAACCUAGCCACUUAGGAAAGACGGAGGUUAUUCUAGAGGCAAAGGUGCUCAUGCUGUGCUCCCUGUCACGCAGCCAACAUUACUGUACAUCCAGAAGAAUCCCAUUUAACAUGCUGCUCAGGCCAAGGAAAGUGGGGAGCUCACCUGAGCAUAGCCACUACUGCUUCUGCCUAACAUCCUGCAGAACCACUAGGACUAAGCUGUUGGACUGCUUCACCUGAGCUGCAACGACUGAAGAGCUACUGACAAGGCUGAAAAAUAAGCCAAAUGAGUUUUCUUGGCAGCUUUCAUACAGUCUAUACUGUGAGCAUGUGUUGGACUGUGAAGUACACUUAACCAACAGUUGAAAAUUCAACUUUUUCCAACACUACAAAUAAUCAAAAAUAAAUAGAAUUGAAAUUUCCAA